AGUCUAACACCGGCAUUCAAAGCUUUCGCAACUCUGUUCUCCAAAUUCAUAGAGACUUAAAACCUUUGGAGUUUUUCCUAUUUUCGUGUAGACCGUUUCCUCUCCUUGCAUAAUCAAAAUGUGUCAAUGGCCUUGCUAUCCCGCUGCCUGCAUUGGAUCAUGUGGUGGCUGCCCCCCAAGUGGCUUCUUUGAUCCUAGCUUUGGAUCACUUGCCGGUCCAUGCCACGGCUUGGGUGGCUCCUGUUAUGGAUGCUGGGGUGGAUGUUGCUGACACCGUAAUCACCACUGUCUCUUAUAUAAGCAAGCAUGACGAACCUGAGACUGGCCUACAGAAGAAAUAUAGGGAAACUUCCAAGGGGGGACUAGCAUAUUAAUUUCUUAUGUACCAGGCAGCGAUCCGUUAUCUUAACAGCUAUUGUUGCAAUAUAGAAUUUAUGUUUGAACAAAAUAAACCAUAAAAUGUAA